AUUGAACGCUGGCGGCAGGCCUAACACAUGCAAGUCGAACGGUAACAGGAAGCAGCUUCCUGCUUCGCUGACGAGUGGCGGACGGGUGAGUAAUGUCUGGGAAACUGCCUGAUGGAGGGGGAUAACUACUGGAAACGGUAGCUAAUACCGCAUAACGUCGCAAGACCAAAGAGGGGGACCUUCGGGCCUCUUGCCAUCGGAUGUGCCCAGAUGGGAUUAGCUAGUAGGUGGGGUAACGGCUCACCUAGGCGACGAUCCCUAGCUGGUCUGAGAGGAUGACCAGCCACACUGGAACUGAGACACGGUCCAGACUCCUACGGGAGGCAGCAGUGGGGAAUAUUGCACAAUGGGCGCAAGCCUGAUGCAGCCAUGCCGCGUGUAUGAAGAAGGCCUUCGGGUUGUAAAGUACUUUCAGCGGGGAGGAAGGCGACAGGGUUAAUAACCCUGUCGAUUGACGUUACCCGCAGAAGAAGCACCGGCUAA
rnacentral:rRNA from 1 species